GACGUGGGGGGCCAGCGUUGCUCGGAAUUACUGGGUGUAAAGGGUUCGUAGGCGGUGUGGCAAGUCGGGAGUGAAAUCUCUGGGCUUAACCCAGAGACUGCUUCCGAAACUGCUGUGCUUGAGUGUGGGAGAGGCGCGUGGAAUUGCAGGUGUAGCGGUGAAAUGCGUAGAUAUCAGGAGGAACACCGGUGGUGUAGACGGCUUUCUGGACCGUAACUGACGCUGAGACACGAAAGCGUGGGUAGCAAACAGG
rnacentral:rRNA from 1 species